CAGCACCCCGAGUGGUCGGGACGAUUAUUGGGCCUAAAGCAUCCGUAGCCGGUUUUACAAGUCCUCCGUUAAAUCCAACUGCUUAACAGAUGGGCCGCGGAGGAUACUAUAAGACUAGGAGGCAGGAGAGGCAAGCGGUACUCAGUGGGUAGGGGUAAAAUCCGUUGAUCCAUUGAAGACCACCAGUGGCGAAGGCGGCUUGCCAGAAUGCGCUCGACGGUGAGGGAUGAAAGCUGGGGGAGCAAACCGGAUUAGAUACCCGGGUAGUCCCAGCUGUAAACGAUGCAGACUCGGUGAUGGACUAGCUUUAUGCUAGUCCAGUGCCGCAGGGAAGCCGUUAAGUCUGCCGCCUGGGUAGUACGGUCGCAAGACUGAA
rnacentral:rRNA from 1 species